rnacentral:rRNA from 1 species
GUCCUUUUGAAUAUAUAUAAGGUCUAACCUGCCCAAUGAGGAUUUUAAUGGCCGCAGUAUUUUGACUGUGCAAAGGUAGCAUAAUUAUUAGUUUUUUAAUUGAAAACUUGUAUGAAGGGUUGGACGAAAUAAAAACUGUCUUUAUUUAAAUAAAGUUAGAAUUUAACUUUUAAGUUAAAAGGCUUAAAUGUUAAUAAUAGACGAGAAGACCCUAUAGAUCUUUAUUUAAUUAAUAUUUUAAUAAUUUAGGAUUAUUUUAAUUUAAAAUUUUAAUUAAAUUUUAUUGGGGUAAUAUAAAGAUUUAAUUAAUUCUUUCUAUUAAUUACAUUAAUUUAUGAAUAAAUGAUCCAAUACUAUUGAUUAUAAGAUUAAGUUACCUUAGGGAUAACAGCGUAAUUUUUUUGGAGAGCUCAUAUCGAUAAAAAAGUUUGCGACCUCGAUGUUGGAUUAAAAAUUAGCUUGGGUGCAGAAGCUCAAGAUUUUGGUCUGUUCGACCAUUAAAUUUUU